CAUUGCCUAGCCAAGUGACACUUUUGACAAGCGAAAUCAAAUCGUUAUCGCCUCCUAGGUGUAGCUACGUAGCGCGAGCUAUCCCCUUGCAGAUAACUUAUCGAAGCACAAGAAAAUACCGAAUAAUAGUGUUUGUAAAUUAGAAUUUGUAGUAAAAAGCAUACUUCAACAUCAUUGUGGGCGGCGAACAACGCGGAAGUGUCGCUUAGACGCAGGCGCCGUCUGAAAAAUCGCCUCUAUUGAAACUGCUUAGGAAAGGACUGCUACGAUCAAAGGAUUGUGGGCCGUACGCAGCAUUUCACCCAAAGAAUCCAAUGUGACCGAGGCGCUGAAUAUCUACCUAUCUAUAGUGACAGUGUCAUGGAAAAAUGGAUUAUGCACCCACAAAUGCAACACGUAACAACGUCCCUACAAAGGUGACUUGGAUAUUCAUUGCAGCCUUGGCAUAUGAACCAAUACUUUAUGGUGCUCCAAAGCCAGGGUCAAGGGAAGAAACUAUGUCACAUGUACAACCACAAAAAUAUAUUGAGUGUUGUUUUACUGUUUUAAAACACUGUACAUAAUAUAUGUACAAACAAGAAUGCUUGGCUACUGAUUUCAUGCUGCCGGCAAAAAAUACCUGCUGCAUCUUUCAUUAACAGAUUUUCAAUAAAAUAAAUUAACUUUUUAACCCAA